ACCUUUUCCCUUCCAUCCAUCUUAAAGGAAGGAAGGGACGGGCUGAGUUCCCCGACGAGAGACACACCCAGAUUUUCCUGCAGCUUGGGGAGAGGUCCUCCCAGGAGCCUUGGUCCCUCCUGGCCUGCCGGAGUCCUUAGCCAGGAUGGAGGCUGUUGUGAACUUGUACCAAGAGGUGAUGAAGCACGCAGUUCCUGAUGUCGGGCUGGCUGAGCACCUAUACCUGGCGCUGUGACCCUGUGGACUAUUCCAACAGCCCUGAGGCACUUAGGAUGGUUCGGGUGGCCUGGCUCUUCCUCUUCUCCAAGUUCAUUGAGCUGAUGGACACAGUGAUCUUUAUUCUCCGAAAGAAAGACGGGCAGGUGACCUUCCUACAUGUCUUCCAUCACUCUGUGCUUCCCUGGAGCUGGUGGUGGG
rnacentral:lncRNA from 1 species